UACGUAGGGGGCAAGCGUUGUCCGGAUUUAUUGGGCGUAAAGAGCGUGUAGGCGGUUUGUCGCGUCUGCUGUGAAAACUGGAGGCUCAACCUCCAGCCUGCAGUGGGUACGGGCAGACUAGAGUGCGGUAGGGGAGAUUGGAAUUCCUGGUGUAGCGGUGGAAUGCGCAGAUAUCAGGAGGAACACCGAUGGCGAAGGCAGAUCUCUGGGCAGUAACUGACGCUGAGGAGCGAAAGCGUGGGGAGCGAACAGG
rnacentral:rRNA from 1 species